rnacentral:lncRNA from 1 species
UUGUCUGUGCUCUCUGAUGAUUUCUUUGCUGUUUUUACCCCAAAAAUUCAGUGCUAAAAAAAUAUUUUGUGCUGUGUCAGAGUCAAGAUCACCCCAGCACCAAUGUCACAAAGGCAAGUUUUUUCUAGUACAGUGUGACUGUUGAAGUCACCUUUGCUCUGGAAGAAUCCAGCGACAAAACAAGUACUUAAUGUAGUGUUCAAACUCACCCAACAUUCAGUGACAGAAACACUUUUUGUGAAACAAAACAAACAAACUGCUAGACAAAAUGUUUGUCUGAAAUCAUAAGAAUUCCUAUUUCUGGUCUACAUUGGCAUAGAUUGCAGUUACAGGUUCAACAGCAAAGAAAGUUGAGAUUUUGAAAUCCUCAUUCAACAUGUUCGACAGCUAGUUUCUUACAAUGUGAACUGCAAGAUUACUGAGUAAGACCAAACUCUAGAAUCUCCAGGUCACGACUGACAUCGAAGAGAAUGCUGAUUAUUCAUUGCAAAACACAUCUUUGCCAAUAAAACGGACAUUCGGGGGAAAAAUUGGCUUUGGUGAUGAAACUCUUGCGGUCUUGCCAUGGAAGAAUGUGCAGCACUGCAGAAUGCUGCAGUUGUAACCAAAUUGGAAUUUGAAAAGCCGCCUUGUCACGAGCUCAAGUAAAUGAGGCAGAUGACUCCCGGUUGACAGACCAGCAUGAGGUGCAUAAAAUAAUUCAAAAUUUGCGGGAAUUCUCGAAGAACUAGCUAGUAUUCACUGGGUGUUUUGGUGACAGUUGUCUUUACUACUGUUUCGUCGACGAAGUUGUUCGCGGUGGCCCAGGCAACCAGCAUAAAAUUUAGCUUUCGUUUAAUAAGCUUGUGCCAGUGGUUUGCGAACGCGAUUGGAAAGCAAUCAAUUCUUGAUUGAAUUAAUAAAAUGAAAGGUAAACUAUUUGCAGAAAAAUAUUGAAAAUUUAUUUUAAAUUUAUAGUGUUUGCUAUCAUAACUAAUGAAGAACUUAAUUACCUGGAAGGUAGUCGAUGAGGUAAGCGACGCCAGCUACGAUUCGUCUUCGUCGUUAACAGAAGGUGCGUGAGGUAUUUUCAAGCACAAAAUCAGCAAUGGUGUCUUCUUGAUCCUGUCGCUAAAAACAAAAACGAAAACGUACAGGAAAUGAAAGAAGUAUGACAACUUAACAAUGAAAGACGCUUAUUUUCUAGAUUGGUUUAUGCUUCGUUUGAAAAUAUUCCCAUUGUCGAAAAUGAGUUGUAUCGUAAGACCUUUUUCUGCGAGUGGGAACAGGGCUGCUGAUGUGGCUGUUGCUCUUGAAUAACUGGUAAGCGCUGCCUCUUUCGUCAAGGCGGGCGUGAACGAUGCUGACAUUUUGGGCAGUGCUGCGGGCCGGAUGCCUAUAACUGGAAACUUUUUGGAGGCUGUGGUGUCUCGUUUAUCCCUCGCGUCAUUGGCAUCUUCAGAUACCCUGAGUUCUUAAAGGAAAUUAAUGCAGGAAGUUACUUCCGUUGAAGUAUGAUCUAUUGAAAUGAAUCCGGCUCUGUUGAGAUUGUUGGAUUUCGUGGAUGACCCGAUGUCGACAAUCCUCCCUAUCUAUCCAAUGCCACUUUGGAACCAAGUCGUUGGUAUCUUUGUAGCUGCGGCUGGCUACCUUAAAUUGCGUUGGCAACUGUGGACGUCUCAUGGCAGCAUCUAUUUGCGGACAACAUAAAUAAAGGCUGUAAUUCUUAGCUCCAACGCAAGGAGAAUCGAAGAGGAGUCCUGUCCCAAUAAGAAGUUUGCGGAAAAGAGAACUCCUUGUUUCUUGUAGCUUUUAGCACUAGUUAACACUGAGACUUUUAAAAAAUGACCACGAAACGCCCCUCGGUUAGCAACUUUCCCCUGCUGUUAAAUUUAGAGUUGCCAGUUUGUCCAGUUUGUAUGUCCUUCACGCUUGAAGGUCGCGGAGAACAUUCCGUAAAACUGUCAAUGCGGUGGUGUAGAGGCUGGGUGAGAACUGGACGUGUUGCAGCAUCAUUAUCAAGCAGACCCAUCCCCAGCAACGUCAACCAAAAGAAGGAAAGGUCG